rnacentral:ncRNA from 2 species
UUGAUAAAAUUAGCGCCAUGUACCUUUGUCUGGGCGGAAAAAGCAAAGGGUAACGAGGUAAAAGGUGUUCGAAACUUCGGCGGGGACCUUUUCGUAUUCUUGGAUGCGUAAUAUAUCUUUAAAUACCUGAGUAAUCAGGGAACAAAGAGGUAUAACCAAGCUGU